rnacentral:rRNA from 1 species
AGAGUUUGAUUCUGGCUCAGGACGAACGCUGGCGGCGUGCUUAACACAUGCAAGUCGAACGAUGAAGCCUAGCUUGCUAGGUGGAUUAGUGGCGAACGGGUGAGUAAUACGUGAGUAACCUACCUUUAACUCUGGGAUAAGCCUGGGAAACUGGGUCUAAUACCGGAUACGACCAAUCUCCGCAUGGGGUGUUGGUGGAAAGCGUUAUGUAGUGGUUAUAGAUGGGCUCACGGCCUAUCAGCUUGUUGGUGAGGUAAUGGCUCACCAAGGCGACGACGGGUAGCCGGCCUGAGAGGGUGACCGGCCACACUGGGACUGAGACACGGCCCAGACUCCUACGGGAGGCAGCAGUGGGGAAUAUUGCACAAUGGGCGCAAGCCUGAUGCAGCGACGCCGCGUGAGGGAUGGAGGCCUUCGGGUUGUAAACCUCUUUUAUCGGGGAGCAAGCGUGAGUGAGUUUACCCGUUGAAUAAGCACCGGCUAACUACGUGCCAGCAGCCGCGGUAAUACGUAGGGUGCGAGCGUUAUCCGGAAUUAUUGGGCGUAAAGGGCUCGUAGGCGGUUCGUCGCGUCCGGUGUGAAAGUCCAUCGCUUAACGGUGGAUCCGCGCCGGGUACGGGCGGGCUUGAGUGCGGUAGGGGAGACUGGAAUUCCCGGUGUAACGGUGGAAUGUGUAGAUAUCGGGAAGAACACCAAUGGCGAAGGCAGGUCUCUGGGCCGUUACUGACGCUGAGGAGCGAAAGCGUGGGGAGCGAACAGGAUUAGAUACCCUGGUAGUCCACGCCGUAAACGGUGGAUGCUGGAUGUGGGGCCCGUUCCACGGGUUCCGUGUCGGAGCUAACGCGUUAAGCAUCCCGCCUGGGGAGUACGGCCGCAAGGCUAAAACUCAAAGAAAUUGACGGGGGCCCGCACAAGCGGCGGAGCAUGCGGAUUAAUUCGAUGCAACGCGAAGAACCUUACCAAGGCUUGACAUAUACUGGACCGCAUCAGAGAUGGUGUUUCCCUUCGGGGCUGGUAUACAGGUGGUGCAUGGUUGUCGUCAGCUCGUGUCGUGAGAUGUUGGGUUAAGUCCCGCAACGAGCGCAACCCUCG